rnacentral:misc_RNA from 1 species
UCGACAACCACUGUCUUCUGGUGGUGAGUAAACAUGGUAGAGAUUUCAAAUCCCUGAAUUAUGCUUCUUCCAUCGUCGGGAUUGCGGGGGCAUAGAAAGCAAUGCACGUUCGUGUUCCUGAAGUAGUUUUCANNNUUGAUCAUGGGUUGCCAUUAGGCCAUCCUUCUUCAGUUCCUCAACAGAGGUUCUGUCAUCCCAAACGAGCAUAAGAACUCUCACACCUUCAUCAGCCUUCUUCUUGAGCAGAUCCCCAAGUUUUAGGUCACCUCCUGGUUUUCGCCUAUGAGGAUCCCUAACCAAAGUUAUCUCAGUAUAAACAGACCACCCAGUUAUGUAAAUCAGGUACUUGGCAUUAGUGAUGGCAUCAAAGAUGUCUUCCCAGCAUCUGUGAGCUUCAUAGGUCUUUCCUUCUAUUGGAAUCCUAGGAAUAAAACUGU